rnacentral:rRNA from 1 species
UAGGGAAUCUUCCACAAUGGACGCAAGUCUGAUGGAGCAACGCCGCGUGAGUGAAGAAGGUCUUCGGAUCGUAAAACUCUGUUGUUAGAGAAGAACAUGCAGGAGAGUAACUGUUCUUGUAUUGACGGUAUCUAACCAGAAAGCCACGGCUAACUACGUGCCUG